rnacentral:rRNA from 1 species
UAAUCGGGGUUGCGGACAGUGUCUGGUGGGUAGUUUGACUGGGGCGGUCUCCUCCUAAAGAGUAACGGAGGAGCACGAAGGUUGGCUAAUCCUGGUCGGACAUCAGGAGGUUAGUGCAAUGGCAUAAGCCAGCUUGACUGCGAGCGUGACGGCGCGAGCAGGUGCGAAAGCAGGUCAUAGUGAUCCGGUGGUUCUGAAUGGAAGGGCCAUCGCUCAACGGAUAAAAGGUACUCCGGGGAUAACAGGCUGAUACCGCCCAAGAGUUCAUAUCGACGGCGGUGUUUGGCACCUCGAUGUCGGCUCAUCACAUCCUGGGGCUGAAGCAGGUCCCAAGGGUAUGGCUGUUCGCCAUUUAAAGUGGUACGCGAGCUGGGUUUAGAACGUCGUGAGACAGUUCGGUCCCUAUCUGCCGUGGGCGCUGGAGAACUGAGGGGGGCUGCUCCUAGUACGAGAGGACCGGAGUGGACGCAUCACUGGUGUUCGGGUUGUCAUGCCAAUGGCACUGCCCGGUAGCUAAAUGCGGAAGAGAUAAGUGCUGAAAGCAUCUAAGCACGAAACUUGCCCCGAGAUGAGUUCUCCCUGACCCUUUAAGGGUCCUGAAGGAACGUUGAAGACGACGACGUUGAUAGGCCGGGUGUGUAAGCGCAGCGAUGCGUUGAGCUAACCGGUACUAAUGAACCGUGAGGCUUAACCUUACAACGCCGAAG